AGAGUUUGAUCCUGGCUCAGGACGAACGCUGGCGGCGUGCUUAACACAUGCAAGUCGAACGGAUCACUCCAGCUUGCUGGGGUGGUGAGUGGCGAACGGGUGAGUAACACGUGAGCAACCUGCCCUCCUCUCUGGGAUAAGCCUUGGAAACGGGGUCUAAUACCGGAUAUUCACUUCCUGCUGCAUGGUGGGUGGUGGAAAGCUUUUGCGGUGGGGGAUGGGCUCGCGGCCUAUCAGCUUGUUGGUGGGGUGAUGGCCUACCAAGGCGAUGACGGGUAGCCGGCCUGAGAGGGCGACCGGCCACACUGGGACUGAGACACGGCCCAGACUCCUACGGGAGGCAGCAGUGGGGAAUAUUGCACAAUGGGCGAAAGCCUGAUGCAGCGACGCCGCGUGCGGGAUGACGGCCUUCGGGUUGUAAACCGCUUUCGGUAGGGAAGAAGCCUUCGGGUGACGGUACCUGCAGAAGAAGCGCCGGCUAACUACGUG
rnacentral:rRNA from 1 species